UGGGGGAUAUUGCACAAUGGGCGAAAGCCUGAUGCAGCGACGCCGCGUGGGGGAUGAAGGCUUUCGGGUUGUAAACCUCUUUCGCUAUCGAACAAGGCCCGCUUAGGGUGGGUUGAGGGUAGGUGGAGAAGAAGCGCCGGCUAACUACGUGCCAGCAGCCGCGGUAAUCCGUAGGGCGCGAGCGUUGUCCGGAAUUAUUGGGCGUAAAGGGCUUGUAGGCGGCUUGUUGCGCCUGCUGUGAAAACGCGGGGCUUAACUUCGCGCGUGCAGUGGGUACGGGCAGGCUUGAGUGUGGUAGGGGUGACUGGAAUUACAGGUGUAGCGGUGGAAUGCGCAGAUAUCUGGAGGAACACCGAUGGCGAAGGCAGGUCACUGGGCCAUUACUGACGCUGAGGAGCGAAAGCAUGGGUAGCGAACAGG
rnacentral:rRNA from 1 species